UUAAAACCCCGCGGCCAAACACGAGAAGACAGCCGAGCCUGAGUUUAACAAAAGAAACCGCAAGGGAACGAAAGAGUGCUAGAAGGCAGAAGAAAAUGAGCAGCGAGGCCAAAACCAGUAGCGCAACUGCCCCCGGAGGAGGAGGAGGCGGUGGUGGAAGGGGAUUUAGGGCGAGGAUGGAGCACUACUUGUACAGCGGUGAGAAGAAGCACGUAUUUGCAGGCCUCGUUAUUAUCAGCGCCGUCUUUGCCGUUCCUUGGUACCUCAUGAAUCGAGGGGCAAAGCACCAAUCUCAUCAAGACUACUUAGAAAAAGCUGAUAAGGCAAGGAGUGAAAGACUUUCUUCAGGGACACCCGCCGCUGCUAAAUGAUUUCACGAGUUUUAUGUUGAAGGUGUGUAACUUUACUCUGGUUUUUCAUAAUGGUUGCAACUUGGAAGGUGCAAUAGGUUUUUUUGCCUUCUUCGACCCGUUUUCCAGAAGAGUGGCUUCUCAUGGUCCUUGAGGAGUAAUGGUUGUUCUGUUUACUUUUGUUUUGAUAAAUACAAAUUUACGGUUAUGAGGAAUCGUUAUGAAUAAUUAGGUUGUGUUUCUUGUCAUGUUGAGGUGCAUCCAUGAUCCUUCCAUGUCAGGAAUUCCUUUGAUUUCUAACUAGCAAGCAACAGGCUCUGUUUGUUCUCAUCUGGAGCUUGCAUUUUAUGUAAACUUUUGGGUUAAAUACUUGAGUUUCCAGACUGUUGAACCAAAACAUAGAAUUCCUGCAUCAGUUUUAUUAAUUUUGUUGAAUUGCACUCCGAGGUGUGGGUGUCGAA